rnacentral:rRNA from 1 species
UACAGAGGGGGCAAGCGUUAUUCGGAAUUAUUGGGCGUAAAGGGCGCGUAGGCGGCUUUGCAAGUGACGGGUGAAAGCCCUCGGCUUAACCGAGGAACUGCCUGUCAGACUGUAAGGCUUGAGACCGGGAGAGGUGAGUGGAAUUCCCAGUGUAGCGGUGAAAUGCGCAGAUAUCAGGAGGAACACCGGUGGCGAAGGCGGGUCUCUGGGCCGAUAUUGACGCUGAGGAGCGAAAGCGUGGGGAGCGAACAGG